UGUUUGUUUUGAUUUGUGUAUUAUUUUUCUUUUGUGAUGGAAGGUGUUUUUUUUUUUUUCUUGGAUUCAGUUUUAACUCACACCUAAUUGUCAUGCUGAUAAAGUAAGAAAGAGAUAAUCUUCGUACAUUAGUUACCUUCUGUGGCUUGUGAUUUGCAACAGAAAUUAGAUGAAGGGAAAGAAGUCUUUAGAUUCAGAUCUUGAGAAACUGUGUGCCCCAUUCCUUACAUUCACCGAGAAGAUUUUUAUCUAACAGCAGGAUGGAAGACAUCACUGUGUAACUUCUCAUGUAUUCAUGUUUCAUUUGUGCUCUCAAAAGUUUAAACUGCCUACAAAAUAGAUGAUGAGUCUGGCUCUAGUUACAAGCAGUGGGAGGCUUUACCUUUAGCAGCCUUGAGGAGCUUACAGCAGAAACUUCUAUACCUGGUAGAAUGAAUUAUUGACAGUCAUCCUCCUACACAUGGCACAACUGGACAAAGGGAAUGCUCUGCUCAGUGUAAAACAGUGAGUAAAUAACAUACUGCUAGGCAGUACUGCAAAGAUUACCUGAUUAUGCCAGUCCCCCCAGAUCACCUGAUAGAGACUUGGAGAUUCAUAAAAAGGAAGGAAACAGAUCCCUCACUAGCCUAAAGGAGGGAGAGAAUAAUGGAUGAGGACAGAAAGAGAAAGCUGGUCUCUUUCUGCCAGAGGAGAAGGAUAUACAGAAGGGAUGAGGGCUCCUCAGUGACUCACAGAAACAAGGAAUGCUGAAGGCUGCUGAUGAAAAACUGAGUCAGGGAGUUUCAAACAUUUAUUCAUGUUCCAUGUGUUGUGCUGGAAAGAAUGGCUGUCUUUUGAAACCUUUAAAAAGUCUUAUAUUGUUGCUCCCAAGUGUCAAAAAGAAAAAAAAAAAAAAAAAAAAAAAAAAAA